rnacentral:rRNA from 1 species
GAUGAACGCUAGCGGCAGGCUUAACACAUGCAAGUCGAACGCUCCGCAAGGAGAGUGGCAGACGGGUGAGUAACGCGUGGGAAUCUACCUAGUUCUACGGAACAACAGUUGGAAACAACUGCUAAUACCGUAUACGCCCUACGGGGGAAAGAUUUAUCGGAAUUAGAUGAGCCCGCGUAAGAUUAGCUUAGUUGGUGGGG